UAGCCCAAUUAGGCAAAGCCCAAACCAAUAAACCCAACAAAAUACUCCCUUCUCCCCUCUAGUCUCACGUGAAACCAAAAGAAAGAGAGCAAAAAAAAAAAAAAAAAGAAGGAAACCCUCCUUCUUCAACCUCACGUACAAUUCAGCCAUUGCCUCCCGCCUUCACUGCUCCGCCAGCCGCCGCACCACCGCGACAGCGACCCACGACCACCACUACCGCGCAAACCGUGACCCAGGCCACGACCACCGCACACAGCCGCCGUUUCCAACCCUGCCGCGAGCCAUCACCGUCCGCCGGCCAGCUCCCUUCUCCCCCUCUUGAAUUGGCGGAGAAUUCUCUUUAGGCGACUUUUGAAAGUGUUAAAGUGGCCUAUCAGUUUGUUUACACAAGGUACGUACAUACCUGUGUGCUUGGAAUGUGUGCUAAUUGUUGAAACCAUGUUG